rnacentral:rRNA from 1 species
GACGAACGCUGGCGGCGUGCUUAACACAUGCAAGUCGAACGGAAAGGCCCCUUUGGGGGUACUCGAGUGGCGAACAGGUGAGUAACACGUGAGUAACCUGCCCUUGACUUCGGGAUAACUUCAGGAAACUGGGGCUAAUACCGGAUAGGAAUCCUUGCUGCAUGGUGGGGGUUGGAAAGCUUCGGCGGUUUUGGAUGGACUCGCGGCUUAUCAGCUUGUUGGUGGGGUAGUGGCUUACCAAGGCUUUGACGGGUAGCCGGCCUGAGAGGGCGACCGGCCACAUUGGGACUGAGAUACGGCCCAGACUCCUACGGGAGGCAGCAGUGGGGAAUAUUGCACAAUGGGCGGAAGCCUGAUGCAGCAACGCCGCGUGCGGGAUGACGGCCUUCGGGUUGUAAACCGCUUUCAGCAGGGGCGAAGCUUGUGGUGACGGUACCUGCAGAAGAAGCACCGGCUAACUACGUG